rnacentral:lncRNA from 1 species
CAUCAAUACACUAAUAUUUCUAAAUAAUAUUACCUUAUUGAUGGGGUUGUUUUUGGAAUACAAAAUUUUGGGUUCUAAAGCAUAAUAAAUAUUUUCUUUGUGUCCCAAACAGUCGCUGUGUGUGUUGCGCAGCUGAAUUUGAAGGCAGCUGAUGGAGAAAAUGUCACCAUAUCCUUCAAAACUGCUGGACUUGAGAGAGCCGACCAAGUGAAGAUAACUUUUACAAGAGGAUGUAAGAAAAAUCUGAUUGCGCAGUACUGUCGCUGUGCUCAUUGUGGGGACUGUGAUGCCGUGGAAACACCGGGAGUCGUACUGAGAGUUGAAGAAGGAACCUUAACUCUUCUACGUGUCAGCUCCAAUAACUCAGGCCUCUAUGAAGUAAUAAUCAUUGGAAAUAACGUGUCUGAGAUGAAAGUUACACUUGUUGUCAACAAACCACCAUUUUCCUCCAGUAUAGAGCCAAGACAAACCUCCAUCUCAAAACCUCCCAACGUCUCUGAAAGACACAGGCUAUGUGUGUUACCUGCUCUAGUUGUAUUCAGCCUGGGGGUCUUAGGGGUUUAUUUGCUCUAUAAAUGGAAGAGGGGAUGUGAGCCAGUAGCUGAUGCUGAAGCAGCCAGAGAUCCAGUGUGAAGCGCUUGCAUUCAGUGAAGAACACAAGCGACUUAUGAAUGACACAAAUGAUUUCAACUAGUUUAAAGCCAGAUGAAACAGCACUGACAAAUAGCAGAAGCACUGUGAGCAAUGAGACAGUCAGAAGCCUUUUCAGUCUAUAAAUCGCCAUCAUUUACCAUGGGUUUACUGUAGUAACACGAACCACUAUGGUAUUGUGGCAGAGAUGCGGGAUAUUCAGAUAGAAUUUUAUUAUAUUAUUCACGUAGACUAUAGCGUUUGUGCUUUUAUACUAAAUGUGUUUCGACUACUGUUUUUCAUACAAAUACCUAGAAACAAAGUUAAAUUUUUACCUUGGUGUUGAGGUGUUAUGUGUGGUUUUAACUGUGGUUAUCAUGAUCUAAAUGUGUGCUAUAUGGAAGACCAGUGGUUAAAUUUAAUAAAACUCAAAUAGUCAGAACAAUUACAUUUCACCAUAAUUUUUUUACAAU